GAUGAACGCUGGCGGCGUGCUUAACACAUGCAAGUCGAACGAUGAAGCCCAGCUUGCUUGGUGGUUUGGUGGCGAACGGGCGAGUAACACGUGAGUAACCUGCCCUCUACUCUGUCAUAAGGCAGGGCAACUGGGUCUAAUACCUAAUAGGAGCUCCUACCGCCGGGUGGGUGUUGGAGAGAUUGAUCGGUUUUGGAUGGACUCGGGGCGUAUCAGCUUGUUGUUGAGGUAUUGGUUCAGGAAGGCCACGACGGGUAGCCGGCCUGAGAGGGUGACCGGCCACACUGGGACUGCGACAGGGCGCAGACUCGAACGGGAGGCAACAGUGGGGAAUAUUGCACAGCGGGCGCGAGCCGGAUGCGACGACGCCGCGUGAGGGAUGACGGCCUUUGGGUUGUGAACCUCUUUCGGUAGGGAAGAAGCGGAAGUGACGGUACCUGAAGAAGAAGCACCGGCUAACUACGUG
rnacentral:rRNA from 1 species